rnacentral:rRNA from 1 species
GUACGAACCGUGCGAAUGUUGUUCGGAAUCACUGGGCUUAAAGGGAGCGUAGGCGGGCUAUCAAGUCUGGGGUGAAAUGCCGCGGCUCAACCGUGGAACUGCCUUAGAUACUGACGGCCUCGAGGGAGAUAGGGGCAUGCGGAACUGUAGGUGGAGCGGUGAAAUGCGUUGAUAUCUACAGGAACUCCGGUGGCGAAAGCGGCGUGCUGGAUCUCUUCUGACGCUGAGGCUCGAAAGCUAGGGGAGCAAACGGG